UAAGGGCGCACGGUGGAUGCCUUGGCACUAGAAGCCGAUGAAGGACGUUACUAACGACGAUAUGCUUUGGGGAGCUGUAAGUAAGCUUUGAUCCAGAGAUUUCCGAAUGGGGAAACCCAGCAUGAGUUAUGUCAUGUUAUCGAUAUGUGAAUACAUAGCAUAUCAGAAGGCACACCCGGAGAACUGAAACAUCUUAGUACCCGGAGGAAGAGAAAGAAAAUUCGAUUCCCUUAGUAGCGGCGAGCGAAACGGGAAGAGCCCAAACCAACAAGCUUGCUUGUUGGGGUUGUAGGACACUCUAUACGGAGUUACAAAGGACGACAUUAGACGAAUCAUCUGGAAAGAUGAAUCAAAGAAGGUAAUAAUCCUGUAGUCGAAAAUGUUGUCUCUCUUGAGUGGAUCCUGAGUACGACGGAGCACGUGAAAUUCCGUCGGAAUCUGGGAGGACCAUCUCCUAAGGCUAAAUACUCUCUAGUGACCGAUAGUGAACCAGUACCGUGAGGGAAAGGUGAAAAGCACCCCGGAAGGGGAGUGAAAUAGAACCUGAAACCGUGUGCUUACAAGUAGUCAGAGCCCGUUAAUGGGUGAUGGCGUGCCUUUUGUAGAAUGAACCGGCGAGUUACGAUUUGAUGCAAGGUUAAGCAGUAAAUGUGGAGCCGUAGCGAAAGCGAGUCUGAAUAGGGCGUUUAGUAUUUGGUCGUAGACCCGAAACCAGGUGAUCUACCCUUGGUCAGGUUGAAGUUCAGGUAACACUGAAUGGAGGACCGAACCGACUUACGUUGAAAAGUGAGCGGAUGAACUGAGGGUAGCGGAGAAAUUCCAAUCGAACCUGGAGAUAGCUGGUUCUCUCCGAAAUAGCUUUAGGGCUAGCCUCAAGUGAUGAUUAUUGGAGGUAGAGCACUGUUUGGACGAGGGGCCCCUCUCGGGUUACCGAAUUCAGACAAACUCCGAAUGCCAAUUAAUUUAACUUGGGAGUCAGAACAUGGGUGAUAAGGUCCGUGUUCGAAAGGGAAACAGCCCAGACCACCAGCUAAGGUCCCAAAAUAUAUGUUAAGUGGAAAAGGAUGUGGCGUUGCCCAGACAACUAGGAUGUUGGCUUAGAAGCAGCCAUCAUUUAAAGAGUGCGUAAUAGCUCACUAGUCGAGUGACACUGCGCCGAAAAUGUACCGGGGCUAAACAUAUUACCGAAGCUGUGGAUUGUCCUUUGGACAAUGGUAGGAGAGCGUUCUAAGGGCGUUGAAGCAUGAUCGUAAGGACAUGUGGAGCGCUUAGAAGUGAGAAUGCCGGUGUGAGUAGCGAAAGACGGGUGAGAAUCCCGUCCACCGAUUGACUAAGGUUUCCAGAGGAAGGCUCGUCCGCUCUGGGUUAGUCGGGUCCUAAGCUGAGGCCGACAGGCGUAGGCGAUGGAUAACAGGUUGAUAUUCCUGUACCACCUAUAAUCGUUUUAAUCGAUGGGGGGACGCAGUAGGAUAGGCGAAGCGUGCGAUUGGAUUGCACGUCUAAGCAGUAAGGCUGAGUAUUAGGCAAAUCCGGUACUCGUUAAGGCUGAGCUGUGAUGGGGAGAAGACAUUGUGUCUUCGAGUCGUUGAUUUCACACUGCCGAGAAAAGCC
rnacentral:rRNA from 1 species